rnacentral:sRNA from 1 species
AGUCCACUGCUGGGCCUGGAACACAGAGCAGUGGCUGCCCUGCGAGGAGGUCCUACAGCAGCUCCAGCAGGAUGGCGGCUCCAGCGUCUCUAAGGCCUGCAGGGGGUCCAGCCCCAUGGGGGGCGCCCUAGGCCUCCGACAGCUCCCCAUCUGUGCUCCUGCCUGCCGGCCAUCCUCAGGCCACUCGCCAUGGGCGGCUGCUUCUCCAAACCCAAACCAGUGGAGCUCAAGAUCGAGGUGGUGCUGCCUGAGAAGGAGCGAGGCAAGGAGGAGCUGUCGGCCAGUGGGAAGGGCAGCCCCCGGGCCUACCAGGGCAACGGCACGGCCCGCCACUUCCACACGGAGGAGCGCCUGUCCACCCCUCACCCCUACCCCAGCCCUCAGGAUUGCGUGGAGGCUGCUGUCUGCCACGUCAAGGACCUCGAGAAUGGCCAGUGGGUUCUGGGCCUGCCUGGGAGGGGGGAUCAGGGGUCCCAAGGUGGGAGGGUGAGGGGGCCAUAGCCGGGGGUCGGGGUUGGCCUGAAGGGGCUAUGACCAGCUGCUGCCCUGGUCACUGCCUUUGUGGCUUCUACCGGUCUGGGCCUGCUCCCCA